rnacentral:rRNA from 1 species
AUGUACGAGAUCGCCGACACCGAGAUACGGGAUCGCCGCCAACGCACGAUCUGCCGUCUCUCGCUGCCGCCGUGGUACGAUCUGCCGUCUCUCCCAGAGGAGGCGCCGCCGCGGACGUCCGGGAUCACCGCUGCCUACGUCCGGGAUCACCGCCGCCGACCUGCCAGAGGAGACGCCGCCUCCAAUCUCCUAGAGGAGCCGCCGCCGCCGCCGGUCUCCGACGGGAGACGCCGUCGCCGCCGCCGCCGACCUUUGAGGGGAGACGCCGCCGCCACCUGCGCUGAACCCCAGGGCAGGGUGCGACGAUCGUCGCAAGGAGUACUUGCCGGCCGUACACAGGGCCAAGGUGGUAGUAGACGAUGA